rnacentral:snoRNA from 1 species
ACUCAGUCUUGUAAGAUUAGGGUACCCAUGUGGGCCCAGGGUGCAGUGGCUGCAAACUGCAGGCUCCCUGAUAGUAUAUGCAGCCUGUUGUCUGUACAGGUUGCCCUAAGGGACCUUGGAGACAGAC